rnacentral:rRNA from 1 species
UACGUAGGGGGCAAGGCGUUGUCCGGAUUUACUGGGCGUAAAGGGCGCGUAGGCGGCGUGGUAAGUCACUUGUGAAAUCUCUGAGCUUAACUCAGAACGGCCAAGUGAUACUGCUGUGCUAGAGUGCAGAAGGGGCAAUCGGAAGUUCCUGGUGUAGCGGUGGAAUGCGUAGAUACCAGGAGGAACACCAAUGGCGAAGGCAGGCUACUGGACAGAAGGUGACGCUGAGGCGCGAAAGUGUGGGGAGCGAACCGG